CUCUUACAAUUUAGUGUUCAAACCGUUGCUCGGUCUAAGUUUCUAACAAGAAGACAAGUACAACUUACAUCUUAGAGGCUUAUAUAUAGUCUUUUGGAAAAAAUUUCAUAGUCGAAGAAAUUAAGGAAGUCUCUCUCCGUACCGUUUACAUUUGCAGCAAUGGGGUGUUUUUGCAUGCAAGGGAGUAAAAAGAAAGAAAAUAAAAAUAAAAAGAAUGCUUAUGCUUCCCCCGCGGCUUAUUCAGGUAAAGCUCCUAAGCGCAAAGGUGGCAGAAACGAUGGUGGCAUGGUUUUUAUGAGUACUGCUGCUUAUGCAAACACCUCCACUGAUCACAGUGGUGGAGGUGGAGGUUGUGGUGGUGGCGGAGGUGGAGGGGGUUGCGGUGGUGGAGGAGGAGGUUGCGGAGGCGGUGGUGGAUGAAGCUGAGUGGGUGGUGGCUUAAUUUGCUUGGGGUUUGUGGUGGUGGACUACUGGUGCUGGCUUUCAAGUUUUUUUUUUUUUUUUUGAGAAACGGCUUUCAAGUUUGUUAAGCAUGGAAUUAUAGUUUUGUUAUUCGUUCAUGAAUUGUUGGGUUUUACGUGAAGUUUAUUACUUGGCAAUAACUAUAAGAGGUUAUUGCAUGUAUAUUUUUUUUCCCGCCUUUUUUUGCUUAGUCUCAUGACUCAUGAUUCAUGAGGAUGUAGAACAAAGGUGUAUUUUUAUAUUCUAAAUAUAUUUAUUUAAUUCAAUGAAUAAGUCUCAGUUAGAUUU